ACUGCUUCAUGACAAGAGGUUCCAUGCUGACAGCAUCUGGGGAAACCUCGCUGGGCCUCGGAGGUCCUUCCUAUGGGUGAUAUGCCACCCACCCUGGGUCGAGAGUCAGAGAAGCGCGGCCGGUCCCACUGCUGGCUUCGCCUGCCUGUUUCCCACAGCUUCCCUCUAGUCAUCCACCUACACCUGCUGCCCAGUUCCCUAGAAACCUGCCUAGUGUAAAAGGAAGCAACUCUGGAGAACAGAAUGAGAAAUCAGAAAGCAAGGCCCUGUCCUCUGAGUUCUGUCCUGGAUGGGGACUGAGGAAGUUUUAUGUGGUCCAGAGAGGCUGCAUCAGUCUCAGGCCCCUAAGCCUUGCCUGGUUCAACAGUAUUAUUUCACUCACGCUGGUCACCCCAUUGUUAGAAAGAGCAAGGAAAGGAGGAUGAGAAAGGAAGAGAGGGAGGGAGAAAAUUGUCCCCAAGAAAAGGAAACUAUUGUCUGGUAAGAUUCAGCCCACUUUUCUUGUUAAAUGAUGUGAAUUCAAAUUGUUGAUAUAUAUCACCAACUUGACAUGUGAAACUAUUGUCUCAAAGCAUAUUAUAAAAUACUAUAUAUGAAAACAUUGACAAAUAUACUGUAGUUGAUGAGUACCAGAUAUGAUUAUUGUUCUUUUCAUGUGUGAUUACAGGUGAUGGACAGAUGGUUUCCUCAAUUUAUAU
rnacentral:lncRNA from 1 species